AUUGAACGCUGGCGGCAGGCUUAACACAUGCAAGUCGAGCGGUAACAGAGAGAAGCUUGCUUCUCUGCUGACGAGCGGCGGACGGGUGAGUAAUGCCUAGGAAUCUGCCUAGUAGUGAGGGAUAACUUGCCGAAAGGUGAGCUAAUACCGCAUACGUCCUAAGGGUGAAAGGAGGGGACCUUCGGGCCUUUCGGCAUUAGAUGAGCCUAGGUCGGAUUAGUUAGUUGGUGAGGUAAUGGCUCACCAAGACCGCGAUCCGUAAUUGGUCUGAGAGGAUGAUCAGUCACACUGGAACUGAGACACGGUCCAGACUCCUACGGGAGGCAGCAGUGGGGAAUAUUGGACAAUGGGGGGAACCCUGAUCCAGCCAUGCCGCGUGUGUGAAGAAGGUCUUAGGAUUGUAAAGCACUUUAAGUUGGGAGGAAGAGCAGUUAACUAAUAUUUGACUGUUUUGACGUUACCGACAGAAUAAGCACCGGCUAACUUCGUGCCAGCCGCCGCCGUAA
rnacentral:rRNA from 1 species